CUUUGAAAUGGGUUAGUGGUCUCUGGUCUUUAUUUGAGACGGUCUCACUGUGCAGUUCAGGCUGGCCUUGGACUCACUAUGUGGCCCAGGUGGCCUCAAGCUCAAGCGAUCCUCCUGCAUCGAUCGGCCUCCCGAGUGCUGAGAGUACAGGUGUGCACCACUUCGCCUGACUUGGUCUCUCUUAACUCCCUUUUCAGGUCUCCACUGUGCGACUUGUCAGCCCCGCCAGGCUUUGGAGCCGCCUCCUUCCAUCACUAGACCACUGCUAACAAGGGCCAGGCUGCAUCUGGUGGUGCCCAGCUUCCUCAAAGGGACUCGGAGGGGCCGCUGCCUGAAUAAGAUGGAGCCACCAGAAAAAUCACCCCUGCUCCAGACACAAAGGAGGCUGGGAGUCUGAACUCAAGGUGUCCACAGAACCCUGCUCCCUAAGAAGGCUCAAAAGGAAGACACUUCUUGCCUCUUCCAGCUUCCAGUGGCCCCAGGGGCUGACUAGCUGGUAGCAGCUUCACUCCAACCUGUCACAUGGACAUCUGCCCUCGGAGUCUGUCUCUUCCUGUAAGGUCCCAGUCACAGUGGCUCUGCCCCAG
rnacentral:lncRNA from 1 species